rnacentral:rRNA from 1 species
UGCAAGUCGAACGGCAGCACAGUGUGUAGCAAUACACAUGGGUGGCGAGUGGCGGACGGGUGAGUAACACGUAGGAAUCUACCCUAUAGCGGGGGACAACUAGAGGAAACUCUAGCUAAUACCGCAUAAUCUCGCGAGAGAAAAGCUGGGGCAACCUGGCACUAUAGGAGGAGCCUGCGUCUGAUUAGCUAGUUGGCGGGGUAAAGGCCCACCAAGGCGACGACCAGUAGCUGGUCUGAGAGGAUGAUCAGCCACACUGGGACUGAGACACGGCCCAGACUCCUACGGGAGGCAGCAGUGGGGAAUAUUGGACAAUGGGGGCAACCCUGAUCCAGCAAUACCGCGUGUGUGAAGAAGGCCUUCGGGUUGUAAAGCACUUUAGGCGGGGAAGAAGGUUGGUAUUUUAAGAGAUAACUAACUUGACGGUACCCGCAGAAUAAGCACCGGCUAACUCUGUGCCAGCAGCCGCGGUAAUACAGAGGGUGCAAGCGUUAAUCGGAAUUACUGGGCGUAAAGGGCGCGUAGGUGGUUGCUUAAGUGAGAUGUGAAAUCCCCGGGCUUAACCUGGGACGUGCAUCUUAUACUGGGCAACUGGAGUGCAAUAGAGGGUAGUGGAAUUUCCGGUGUAGCGGUGAAAUGCGUAGAUAUCGGAAGGAACACCAGUGGCGAAGGCGGCUACCUGGA